AACAGCUCUGGCACCCUCUCUCUCUCUCUCCGGCUGCUCCCUUAUGGGUUUUCGACAAUGACGAGUCGCACUCUUCUUGUCUUGUGCGCGUUUCAUCUCGCUACUGGCUUUCGCAUGGAAUGCAGCUUAGACGCUCUCAUUAGCUCAAUAACUGAGGUAAUCAUUUAUAAGGCUAUCAAUGUCGUCAAUAAUCGUAAUUACAUACAUAUAUAAUCAAUUAAAAAUUUGUAUAAUUUGGCAAACGUCGUCUCCGCGGGUUCAGCGACCUUUUGAACUUGAACUAUAGCGAUCUGCAGCUCAGGAUAUAUGGCAGUGGAUGACGCGCUGUUUACUACGCUUCUGAUGAAGAAAUUCCCGUGAUUUCGAUGCAAACUGUCAUCAAAAUUCUGCCGAACAAUGAGAGCGAGCAAUUUUUUUGGAAAUCGCUUCAUUUGCUGAUAAUCGAAGGUAAAGUUCAGGCCCCAGACGUCAUAAAGUCAGCGCAGAUAACGACUUUUGAAAAAUAAAAACUAAUUUGUUUUGAUUGGUCAUAGUCGCACAAUAAAGGGAAAAUACCUAUUUAAGUCAAGGACAUGCGGCAAAACAGAGCCAAUGAAAAUUGUAUACUGAAGAGUCUAACAGAUAAAGAUAUACUAACUAGGAAGGAGCUCAACAACUAACUAGCAUAUUUCGAUAUAGAGGCUCGAAGAUACAUUGACAUUGACGAUGUGCAUGGUUUCCGGGAAAGAUAAAUAUCCUGCGGAGGAUGGCAUUAUUUAGGGUCUUGGGCUGGAUCUUCCUUCCCUGGAUCGCUUUAGCCAUGCUCAGACGCCCGUUAAUUUCUCAGCUGGGGUCCAACGUUAACUAGCUUUGGCAACCGAUGACAACAUCGUCGGCAUCGGAGAUACAUACAUGUCCCAACUACCUGGAGGCACUCGGAAGCGCCAUAAAAGUGCCGUAAUGAAAUCAUAAAUUACGCACCAGCGGAAAUACAGCCAAGAAAAAAAAAACACAAACAAAAAAACGCAUAAAAAUAUAAAUAAAAAAAAAAUAAAUAACCAUUCAGACAAUGCGCGCGCCUGCCACAACGCGAAAUGCAUUAAUAUUGAAGCUGAAGCAGAAGUCGACGCUGGAGAUGGAGAUUUUGAGGUGGAGAUGAGGAUGGGGCUGCGAUUGGGGCUGGGUCCCUCACAGCAUACAUACAUAUAUAUGUACAGACAUAUGCAUAAGUAUAACCGGAAUCGGAAUCGUAAUAAGACUCGGAUUGAACCGGCAUAAGAAAAAUGUUGACAAAAAUGAUUUUAAUUGUUUGUAGCAAACGUUGACACCGCCAGCAGCUGCGGCAGUGACAGCUCGGGGAUCGGCUUGGAAUUUGUCCUUAACGGUUUCGGAGUCUGGAGAUGAAUCCAAGAUUACCGAUGUACUACUAGGUACAUCCAUUUGUAUGCAGAUGCAAGCAGCCGAAACGGAGAAGGAUUGUCAGCGCACAUUGUCGGUCUUAAGCCAAUUAAUAACGACCAUAAACAUAAACUGUGAUUAAAACGCAACAGUUUGGGACACGGGAAGCCGAGUGCCGGCCUGGCCACGGGCAGAGGGUAAAGAGUACCGAGCACCGAUCACCAAGUACCAAGUAUCGAUGAUGCGUCACAGUCAGUGCACUCCAAAGGUCGUACGCUGAACCCACGGCUGGGAGCCAGACCAGCAGAGAUGGAAUGAAACGAGACCACAGACCAGAGACCAGAGACCAGGCCAUACCAGACCCGACCCAAAGCAGAGCCAGAUUGUUGUGUGAAUCACGGCGCGUGCUGUUAUUGUUACUUUUUGAAUCAUUUCGUUUGUUUUUGGGUUCUGUCGAUUUCUACAUACUAUAUAGGGGGGCAUUCAUAAAAGUCACAAAUACUUAAUAAAUAUUUAAAUAAAAUGUCUUUUUAAUCAAUUA